CUGGCAUAUAAUUUCACUUGGCCAAAUGUGAUGACGUGGGUCGAAACUGCUGUCCAUUUUGUCGAAAUGUCGGCCAUUGUUAGCUGUACGUCUCAUCUCGUGCAGAAACACUUCGGAGCUAUUGAUUUUCAGGUCGGAGAUGGAGAUCCCUUUGCUCAACUGUUGCAGAAAUUUAGAACACGACAAAGUCUGAGCUUCAUGGCUGUAGUAUCAUUAAUGUGGUUUUGUUGUGUUGCAGCCAGCUUGUGAAAGGUGUGAUCGAGUCAUGGUUGAGUUGCAGCUUCUGUAUGCAGUUUAUCGAGCUGGUGCUAUCCCAAGUGUAACUGCAGGAAAACUUCUUGAAUUGCCAGGUGAAGUCUGCGCUUCUUUGUUGCAGUCUAAUGUGCGCAUGGAUUUGUUGCAGUCAUCCAGUGAAAGGUGUGGAUAAAUUGAGCUGUUGCAUGCAGUCUUUGGUGCUGAUGUUGUCCUGGAGUGUGGGAGAGUCCCAUGCUUCAAGUCUUCUGGGAUCAGCUAUAUCUGAGUUGACGCUGGAUCAUGCUGCAUUGUGGUUGCCGAAAUGUUUGACAUCUAGUAGAACUGCAAGAAGACUCCUUGAAAUGGUUUAUGUUUACGUAGCAGUGAUGUUGCUGUCCAAUAUGCAUGUUGUUGCAGCCUAUACUGGUGAAAGUUUUUUUGCAUCGAGUUAUGCUGUUGCUGUUCCUUGGUGCCGGACUGCUGGUGUUGUGCACAAAAGUUACAUCCAGUUUUAAUUGAUAUUUGCGUCUAUGAAGUUAACCGUUUAUACGUUGAGAAUGAAAAAAUAGUAAUACGGGGAAUUUUUACGUUGAACAAAUAAUAAACAUGUCUUCGCGAUUGGGAAACCAGCGAGGAGGAGAUUGGGGGGAGGGGGGAAUUGAUUUUCAUUAGCUAGAAGAAGUCGUGGUUUGUUCUAAUAAGGUUGACAUAAAAUCCUUUGUCUAUCACAUCCAUAUACCUACCUAUAUAACCACAUCUAUUCCUCAAACCCCAUAACUUCCACCAACAUCCAUUCCUUAAGCCCCAUAACUUCCACCAACAUCCAUUCCUUAAACCCCAUAACUUCCACCAACACCCAUUUCUUAAACCCCCAUUUCCCCACAAAUGUAAAAUAUCUAUAAUAUGUAUAUAUAAUUGUUGAAUAAAUAAACCAACUAUGUAAUACAAAAA